CUUCAGGUCCAUGUCCGCCAGCCGGAUGUCGUGGACACUAAGCAUCUGGUCGUGACUCGACAGCUGCUCAUCUAAGGAGGCUGGAGAAGAGAAAUUACAGAUGAAGCCAGAGAGUGGUGAGUACUGUUUCCUACACCUUGGACUCUUGGAAACUGAAGAAAAAAAACUGCUACAGGAAGACGUCUGGCUGACCCACAUGGCAACAACAGCUUUAGCCUUUAGCUCAGAUUAACAUGAUUGGACUAAGUCUCAGUUUUAGCAGUGAAGAGAAGAUUUAGAGUUAGUCUGACAGGUAAAGAAGUGUAAUAAGUAAUAAAGUCAUUGCUAAGAUGAGAAAAUAUUAUUUUUAGUAAUCUACUAAAAUGAACAUUGUGGAGAAGGUUUUUGAUUAGUGCUGGUUAUUUGACUGCUGGUUUCUUGUCAGUAAAAUAUAUCUAUCUACCAGGAUAUAUGGUCAUGUUCUACUAAAACCUUUUUUUUCUCAACACUGAAAAAAAAAUGUAUUGGUUGCUCACAAACCUGUGACUCGCAUUGUUUAUUCACAACUCAGUGAGAUUACUUAUCUCUUUUUGGCUAAACUAAUGGCUGUUCUUACCCAGGGUAAGUGUACCAGCACCGGUUCGGGCAGAGUCGAGAGAUGCUACCAUAGAGCGCAUGCUCUCCACAGCUCCCCUCAAAGCUUCCACUUCAUCCCUCAUCGCCCUCAGCGGCCGCAGGUCCCGCAGCUCCAUCUCCACCUCCAGGAGCUUCUCUGAGUGAGAACUCAUCAGCUUCUAAACACACAAGAACAUAGAAACAAAGACAAGAAGUUAAUUUUUUUUUGCAUAUGCAAAUCCCUCAACCACCCCCCCCCCCUUACCCUUACAUAAUAAUAAAAUGAUAAUUUACUUUA